GAUGAACGCUAGCUACAGGCUUAACACAUGCAAGUCGCGGGGCAGCAUGGGGGUUGCUUGCAAUCCCCGAUGGCGACCGGCGCACGGGUGAGUAACGCGUAUCCAACCUGCCCUUCACCACGGGAUAACCCGGCGAAAGUCGGACUAAUACCGUAUGGUGUCCAUUGACGGCAUCCGAUUUGGACGAAAGGUUUGGCGGUGAAGGAUGGGGAUGCGUCCGAUUAGCUGGACGGCGGGGUGACGGCCCACCGUGGCGACGAUCGGGAGGGGUUCUGAGAGGAAGGUCCCCCACACUGGAGCUGAGACACGGACCAGACUCCGACGGGAGGCAGCAGUGAGGAAUAUUGGUCAAGGAGCGUAAGCCUGAACCAGCCAAGUAGCGUGCAGGAUGACGGCCCCAUGGGUUGUAAACUGCUUUUAUGCGGGGAUAAAGUGGCCCACGUGUGGGUUUUUGCAGGUACCGAAUGAAUAAGGACCGGCUAAUUCCGUG
rnacentral:rRNA from 1 species